rnacentral:lncRNA from 1 species
UGGAGAUGAUUUUUUUUUAAGGUGAAAUAGAACUUUAUUGAUGAGUUAGAAACAUUUUCAAUUCAUAAGUUUUUCAAAUUUUUUUAGUUGAGAUUUUUUUACUUUUUUUUUUUUUUUACUUGGAUGUGUGAACUUUUAAUUUUUUUCUGAUUAAUUAUUUUCAUUAGAUUCCAUCUAUUUUAUUUUAGCAUAGCCAUUUGAUUGACAUGCAAUAUGAUGGCAUGUUUGUCAAGCA